rnacentral:rRNA from 1 species
AUUGAACGCUGGCGGCAUGCCUUACACAUGCAAGUCGAACGGCAGCACGGGUGCUUGCACCUGGUGGCGAGCGGCGAACGGGUGAGUAAUACAUCGGAACAUGUCCUGUAGUGGGGGACAGCCCGGCGAAAGCCGGAUUAAUACCGCAUACGAUCUACGGAUGAAAGCGGGGGACCUUCGGGCCUCGCGCUAUCGGGUUGGCCGAUGGCUGAUUAGCUAGUUGGUGGGGUAAAGGCCUACCAAGGCGACGAUCAGUAGCUGGUCUGAGAGGACGACCAGCCACACUGGGACUGAGACACGGCCCAGACUCCUACGGGAGGCAGCAGUGGGGAAUUUUGGACAAUGGGCGAAAGCCUGAUCCAGCAAUGCCGCGUGUGUGAAGAAGGCCUUCGGGUUGUAAAGCACUUUUGUCCGGAAAGAAAUCCUUGGCCCUAAUACGGUCGGGGGAUGACGGUACCGGAAGAAUAAGCACCGGCUAACUACGUG